AAUCCUGUGACUGGGAUCACCCA
rnacentral:piRNA from 1 species